rnacentral:lncRNA from 1 species
AAUAAAGUUGGUUUAUAACCAAUUGUUUUUAAAAGUUAAAUUCAAUUUAGUAAAUUAUUUUAUUAGCAUGUUAUAGGAGUAUUAAAUGUUUCAACAUAUUUAAAGUUAUUUUAUAAAAUCCACUAGAAAGUAUUCAGGUGAUUUUACCCUCGUCUGCACGGGUGUUAAUGUGUUUUCACAGUGUAUGACUUCAUAUGGUUAUUUUACCCACUCUGCAUUGGUGUGAAUGUGUUUCCACAUCGUAUGAUCAAUAUAGUGAUUUUACCCGCUUUGUACUAUUUUUGAAUUUGUUUCCAUAGUGGAUGAUCAUUUUAUAGCUCUACGCGCAUACGACCAGAAUUAUAGAAUUUCAGAAUUACAGGAUUAUAGAAUUUCAGAAUUGAAUAACCUUGCUAUGUAUAUCGAGAUUAAUCGAUACACGAGUAUGGUUAUUCCGGGUACAUUUUUGUUGUGAUAUUUCAGUAUUACAUAUCUUAUUAGAUUUUAGAAAUACAGUAUACAGAAUAAAGAUGUUUAUGAUUACAGUAUAUUUUAGUUUUGAUAGUAUUAUCAGAUUUUAAGUUAUAGAAUUCAGUUUAAAGAAUAAAUAUUUUAAUUUAUGUCUGUGAAAAGAAAUUUUAUGUUAUAUGUCGAUUUUCAGAAAAAUUUUAUGAAUGGAAAAGUAUACUUUUACAAAUAUCCACUUACUGAGCCGCAAGCUCAUAUUUUUGCCACCUCAUUUCUUAUCAGAUAGAAGCUGCGUUGAGCCAUAUCGGAGCCUGUCGAUCUUCAAGUUGAACUACAUCGUGUCAUUGUUUGUAUGUCUCAUCUUGUUAAUUCAUACAACACAUUUUCUAGGAUUGAUGUAUUUUGUUCAAAAAAUGUAUUAAGUCAUAGACUCAUUGCAUAUUUUGUGUAGUUUUAAAAUGAAGUUGUUUAGUGGUAAAGAAGGGUAAAUUUCUUUUUCAGUACAACUAUUUUGAAGAAUUGGUAUUUUGAGGAGUCGGUGUACCCUGUUUUAAAUUAUAUGUACAUGUUUAGGAUAUUUGAUUUUAUUUUCAAGUGAUUUUAGUCCAUUUUUCGGAGGGCACUUUGUUGAAAUUUUUAUAAAAUUAUAGCAGUCAAAGUAUGUCAAGCUUGCCUUGGUGGUGGGUCCGGCAUUUCGCUGGUAUCUAUUAUCGAGCACAACAUGUGUCGGAUCCAUUAGGGUGAUUUGGGACGUGUUAAUUGGCAUCAGAGUAUUGUUAUAAAGUCAGUUUGCAUGGUUUAUUUGAUUUUUGUUCUCAUCAUAUCAUAUAUAUUUUGUAGUUGGAAGUCAUGGCUCGUGGUAAUAAGAUACGCAGGGUUCAAGAUAUGUUGUCUCAACCACCAGCUGCUCUUGAUAGGGAUGCAAGUAGGGUUGAGGAAUCAGUCCAUCCGACCCAUGAUCAGCAGAGAUAUAGGGAUGUAGCCCAGCCUGACUUAAUAGCUGAUAGGAUUGCCACCGAUGUUGCUUCUGCUCUACGCAAUACAGAUAAAGAUUGUAGUAUGGAGCGGGCUACUAAAUUAGGAGCUGAAGUAUUUACAGGCGCAGUUGAUCUAGUAGAAGCAGAAUCAUUGAUGACAGCUGAUCCAGUAGAAGCAGAAUCAUGGAUGGUGAGGAUUGAAAGAAUAUUUGAUGUGAUGGAUUGUCUUGAUGAUUGAAAAUUACAACUAGCUACUUUCUUGUUAGAAGGAUGUGCUUAUGAUUAGUGGAGGUCCGUAUAGAGUAAAUAUGUUGAUCCUUCUGUGAUCACGCGGGACGAGUUUAAAGAUGAUUUUAAUGAGCAUUUCUACCCUCGUUCUUACAAAAUUGACAAACAGAAUGAAUUUUUGAGAAUAGUACAGACAUCAACAGUGGCGGAGUAUCAGAAGAAAUUUCUAAAAUUAUCAAAGUAUGUUGUUGCUCUUGUAGCUGAUGAAGUUGAUAAAUGUAGAAGAUUUGACUAUGGCCUGAGAGAAGAAAUUAGAUCAGUGGUGAUUGCGUUUGGGUUUGAAAAUUUGGGUAAACUUGUAGAAGCAGCAUUAAGGGUUGAGAAAAGUUUGUCUGAACGAUAUGGUGGUCAACAACAAAAGAGACCGAAAAUUGGAAGCAGUAGUUAGACAUGGGCAGGAAGAUCUAUGACUAGGCCACCGAGGAGGGAUCGUAGUGGAGGUAGAUUAGGUGUUUCCACUUCUGGCAGUUUGAAGUCCAGAUCUCAUGGCAGUUAAGGCUUUGAGGUCGAGUCAGGGAUCAGUACAUCAGCCAGGGAGUAACUGUACUUAGACUCAGAGAUCUUCUCAGAGAUCAUACACUCCUGGAUAGAGUGAUAGCUCUGGUGUGGCCAGAUUUCCCCAAUACCAGUUGUGCAGGAAAUUUCACCCUGGUGAGUGUCUUAAGGGAAUUGGAGUGUGUUAUCAUUGUGGUCAGACGAGACACAUGAGGAGAGAGUGUCCAGUUCGUUUCCAGCAGGGUGGCAUAUCACGGGUUUUUUUGCAAUCGGGUGCUGGCAUUUCUAGAUAGAAUCAGAAUCAGAAUACUUUGGUAGGCAAAAUAGGUGCUACUCAGUCUGAUGCUGCUGGCAGCAGUGGUACUAGACAGAAAGGCCAGGAUGGACGAUCCAGAACUCAGGGAAGAGUGUUUGUAGUGACUCAGCAUGAUGCCGACGAGUCACUAGAUGUGGUUAUGGGUACGUUAACUAUUUUUGGCAAAAAGGCCCAUUCUUUAAUAGAUUUAGGUGAUACACAUUCAUUUAUAUCUUAUGCAUCUGUGAUUUAUGCGGACCAUAUGUCAGAAUCAUUAAAUAGUGAUUUGGUGGUAGCAACUCCUGUAGGAGAUUCACUUUUAACUAACAGUGUGUACAAAGAUUGCGUAAUUAGAGUAAAUGAUCAUGAGUUGAAAGCUAAUUUGAUUCUACUUGAUAUUCAUGAUUUUGACGUGGUAUUGGACAUGGAUUUUUUGUCUGUAAAUCAUGCAUUAGUUGAUUGUUUUCGUAAAGAAGUGGUGUUUUGAAGGUCAGGAUAGCCUGAAAUUGUUUUUCCUGAAGAUCUUCCAGGGUUAUAUCCUGAUAGGGAAAUCAAGUUUACUAUUUAUUUUAUUUCAGGGACUACCCCUAUUUCACAAUCACCUUACAGAAUGGUUCCAUCAGAGCUGAAGGAAUUGAAAGUUCAAUUGCAGGAUUUAGUUGACAAGGGUUUCAUUAGACUCAGUGUAUCUCCAUGGGGAGCUCGUCUUAUUUGUGAAUAAGAAAGAUGGCACAAUGAGAUUGUGUAUUGACUAUAGACAGUUGAAUAAAGUGACAGUCCGCAACAAGUAUCUGUUGCUUCGUAUUGAUGAUUUGUUUGACCAACUUAGAGGUGCCUCAGUAUUUUCAAAGAUUUAUUUACGUUCAGGGUAUCAUCAGUUCAGAAUUAGGGAUAUUGAUGUACCAAAAACUGCUUUUAGGUCACGGUAUGGCCAUUAUGAGUUUUUGGUGAUGCCAUUUGGGUUGACUAAUGCCCCUGCAGCGUUUAUGGACUUGAUAAAUAGAGCGCUUUGCCCAUAUUUAGACAAAUUUGUGAUUAUUUUUAUUGAUGAUAUCUUAGUUUAUUCUCGCAGUAGAGAUGAGUAUCUCGCAGUAGAGAUGAGUAUGUUGAGCAUUUAAGGAUUAUUUUACAGACUUUGCGAGAUAAAUAGUUGUAUGCUAAGCUCAACAGAUGUGAAUUUUGGCUGGAUGAAGUUGUAUUUUUGGGUAAUAUUAUCUCAGCUGAAGGUAUUUAUGUAGAUUCUUAGAAAAUUGAAGUAGUAACGAAAUGGGAACGCCCUACUAAUGUUAUAGAAGUAUGGAGUUUUCUUAGGUUAAUAGGUUAUUAUCGUCGAUUUGGAGAGGAAUUUUUCAAAAUUGCUCUUCCUUUGACUAGUUUGACUCGAAAGAACUCCAAAUUUGCGUGGACUGAUGAAUGUGAAAAGUGUUUUCAAGAGUUAAAGAAAAUAUUAGUUUCUGCUCCAGUACUUACUCUUCCAUCUUCAGGUAAAGAGUUUGUGAUUUAUAGUGAUGCUUCACGCCAAGGAUUGAAUUGUGUUCUAAUGCAGAAUGAGAAAGUUGUAGCUUAUGCUUCUAGACAAUUAAAGAAGCAUGAGUUAAAUUACCCAACUCAUGAUUUAGAGUUAGCUGCAGUAGUGUUGGCAUUGAAGAUUUGGAGACAUUAUCAUUAUGGUGAGAAAUGUCAAAUAUUUACUGAUCACAAAAGUUUAAAGUAUAUAUUUGAUCAGAAAGAACUGAAUCUAAGGCAAAGGAGAUGGCUGAAGUUGAUAAAAAAUUAUGAUUGUAAGAUUGACUACCAUCCAUGAAAAGCAAAUGUAGUUGCAGAUGCUAUCAAUAGAAAGACAAGUUCAUCCUCUCCAUCUAGUGCAGUUUAUGCUUCUUUGAUUUGUGAGUUCAAGAAGUUACACACUGAGCUGACAACUACUACUACAGGGAUGGUAUUAGCUCAUUUUCAGGUGAGGCCUACUUUGAUUGAUAAGGUUAGAGAAGCUCAAUCUCAAGACCAGACAUUGAGAAUAUGGAAAGCAGAAGUUAGUAUUGGGUUAAGAACCGAUUAUGUGAUUAGAGAUGAUGGGGGCAUUGGCUAUGGUAAUAGAUUAUGUGUUCCAAAUAUUUCAGAAUUGAAGAAAGAGAUUUUGGAAGAAGCAAACAGUUUUGCUUAUGCUAUGCAUCCAGGCAGUAUUAAAAUGUAUCAUACAUUGAAAGAUUAUUAUUGGUGGGUUGGUAUGGAGAGAGAGAUCAGAUUUUGUAUCCACAUGUCUUAUAUGUCAGCAGGUAAAGCCAGUUCGUUAGAAAACAGCAGGACUUUUACAGCCAUUGCCUAUCCCAAAAUGGAAAUGGGAACACAUUAUUAUGGAUUUUUUAUUUGGCCUUUCUCGUACUCAGAAUGGUCAUGAUGGAGUUUGGGUUAUCGUAGAUCGUUUGAUCAAGAUGGCCAAAUUUUUGCCAAUCAAAGCUACUUAUACUUUAAAUAAGUUGGCAAAGUUGUACAUGGAUGAAAUAGUGAGCUCUUACGGUACUCCAUUAUCUAUUGUGUCAGAUAGAGACCCUCGUUUUACAUCUAAAUUUUGGCCCAGUUUGCAGGAAGUCAUGGGUACUAAACUACAUUUCGGUAUAGCUUUUCAUCCUCAGACAGAUGGCCAGUCAGAGAGGACCAUACAGUUUCUUGAGGAUAUGUUGAGGGCUUGUGUUUUAAAGCUCAAGGGUAGCUGUGAUAUUCAUUUGUCAUUGAUGAAUAGCUAUCACUCUAGUAUAUAAAUGACUCCUUUUGAAGCCUUACAUGGUCGGAAGUGCAUGACACUAGUUUGUUGGGAUGAAGCUAGUAAGAGGAAGUUAGAAGGCUCGGAAUUGGUUCAAAUGACAUCCGAAAAUGUGAAAUUGAUCAAAGAAAAGUAAUGCAGCUCAAGAGAGAUAGAAAAGGUAUGCUGAUAGGCACAGGAACGAUCUUGAAUUUGUAGUUGGAGAUAAAGUAUUUCUUAAAUUGUCACCUUGGAAAGGGGUGUUGAGAUUUGGCAAGCGAGGAAAGUUGAGUCCACGAUACAUUGGACCCUAUGAGAUUACUGAGCGAAUUGGCCCAGUUGCAUACCGAUUAGAUCUGCUCGAUGAAUUAUCUCGGAUCCAUGAUGUUUUUAAUGUUUCCAUGCUUCACAAGUACAUUGCUGAUCAUUCUCGUGUUCUGGAGUCUCAACCAAUCCAGUUGAAAGAAAAUUUAACAUAUAUAGAAGAGCCCGUGAGAAUUUUAGACAAAAAGGUGCAAAUUCAGUGAAAUCAGACAGUUUCACUUGUUAAGGUACUUUGGCAGAAUCAGAUGGUAGAAGAGGCUACGUGAGAGAAUGAGGAUCAGAUGCGUGCUCAAUAUCCUCACUUAUUCAUUACUCAGUCAGUUGCCAGUUGAAUUUCGAGGACGAAAUUCUUUUAAGGAGGUAAGAUCGUUACAACCCACAAUUUUAUCUAGCCAAAGUCAAUAGUGGAAUUUUCAAAGUCAAGUCAAAUGAGGACUUUUAUGAAAUAAAUCAUUUUUAUUAGGAAUUGAUUGACCAAAUCAUUUUAUUUGGAUUUAUCUUAUAAAUUAUAAAUAUUUUGAAGGUUAAGCUGGACAAAAUAAAAAAAUAUUUGGGAUUUAUUUAUAUAUUUUUGGAAGUUGAGGAUUUACUUAUAUGUUGUAAUUAGAUUUAAGGGACUUUCUUUGCAAAUUGAACAUGUGGGACUUUAAAAUUCAACUUUUGACCAUUCUUUUUCUCCCAAAACCCACCCCUACACACAGAGUAACGUGAGACAAGCAGAGACCGUGAGAGAAGAAAGAAAAAAGAAAAGAAUAAAGGAAAAAGAAGAAGAAAAAGGAUGGGAGAAAAAAAAAAGAAAGGGAAGAAGAAAAGAGGUAAGGUUAAUUUCUUCAAGUUAGAAUGUAAUUUAUCCAUUGUUCCAAGUGAUAAAGGUGUGAUUUAUGUUAAAUUUUUAGGGUUUUAACUUGUAGUAAUAAAAUGUCAAAUUUAGGUGAUAUAUGUACGAUUUGGAGCUCAAGCUUGGAAUUAAUAAAGUUUCAGUUUCAGCAAGGUAGUAGUAGUAAAAUUUUUGGGAAAACCCUAGAAUUCGAUUUCGAAUUUUUGAUUAAUUAAUUGUGAAAAUGAUUAUAUAAAUGGAAUAUUUCAUUUGGGAGUUGAUUUUAUGAAACAAAAUGUAUAUUAAAUGGGUGAAAUUAUGUUUACUAGUUUCACUAGAUUGGAGAGUAAAAUUAGUUUUAAACUUGGGAAGAAGGUUUUGUUGAUGAAUUAGUUAUUAGAAAAGGGAUUAGAAAAUGAGAUUAGCUCCAAUUGAUCAAAAGAAUAUUUGGAAAAUUAAUUCGAGCAUCGACCAAUUUUAGUUAAGUAUUAUAGAAGUAGAUCUUAAUGUUUCUUAAUUUAAUAGUGGUUGAUCAUUCAUCUUGUUAUGUAUUCCAAGUGAUGACGAGGAGAUUGGAAGAGCCUAUCGACCAUAUUAGAUUCAGCUUGUAUUAUGUGAGUGGAUAAGCUUAUUUUUCAGAAAUUAGUAUUUAUUUAAUUUAUAUUAACUCAGAAAAUUUAAUAAUUCAUACAGUCGAUUUGACGACACGAUUUUCAGAAUAAAGUUGUUUUUAAAAGUUAAAUUCAGUUUAGUAGAUCAUUUUAUUAUCAUGUUAUAUGAGUAUUAAAUAUUUCAACAUAUUUAAAGUUAUUUUCUAAAAAUCACCAGAAAGCACCCAGGUGAUUUUACCUUCGUCUGUACUGGUGUGAAUGUGUUUCUACAGUGUAUGACGUCAUAUGGUUAUUUUACCCAAUCUGCGCUGGUGUGAAUGUGUUUCCACAGCGUAUGAUCAAUAUAGUGAUUUUACCCGCUCUGUACUAUUGUGAAUGUGUUUUCAUAGUGUGUGACCAUUUUAUAGCUCUGCGCGCGUACGACCAGAAUUACAGAAUUUCAGAAUUACAGGAUUACAGAAUUACAAAAUUUUAGAAUUGAAUAACCUUGCUAUGUUUAUUGAGAUUAAUCGAUACACGAAUAUGGUUAUUUCGGGUACAUUUACAAAAUUUCAGAAUUGAAUAACCUUGCUAUGUUUAUCGAGAUUAAUCGAUACAAGAAUAUGGUUAUUUCGGAUACAUUUUUGGUAUGAUGUUUCGAUAUUACAUAGCUUAUCAGAUUUUAGAAAUGCAGUAUACAGAGUAAAGAUGUUUAUGAUUAUAGUAUAUUUUAUUUUUGAUAGUAUUAUCAGAUUUUAAGCUAUAUAUUUCAAUUUAUUCAGUUUAAAGAAUAAAUAUUUUAGUUUAUAUGUCUGUAAAAAGAAAUUUUAUGUUAUAUGUCGGUUUUCAGAAAGAUUUUAUGAUUGGAAAAGUAUACUUUUAUAAAGUUCAACUUUUACAAAUAUCCACUCACUGAGUCGCAAGCUCAUAUUUUUGUCACCUCAUUUCUUAUCAGAUAGAAGCUGCGUUGAGCCAUAUCGGAGCCUGUCGAUCGGCGAGUUGAACUACAUCGUGUCAUUGUUUGUAUGUCUCAUCUCGUUAAUUCAUACAACACAUAUUUUCUGGGAUUGAUGUAUUUUGUUCAGAAAAUGUAUUAAGUCACAGGCUCGUUGCAUAUUUUGUGUAUGUUUUGAAAUGAAGUUGUUUGGUGGUAAAGAAGGGUAAAUUUCUUUUUCAGUAAAACUAUUUUGAAGAAUUGGUAUUUUGAGGGGCUGAUGUAUCAUGUUUUAAACUAUAUGUACAUGUUUAGAAUAUUUGAUUUUAUUUUCAGGUAGUUUUAGUCCAUUUUUCAGAGGGUAUUUUGUCGAAAUUUUUAUAAAAUUAUAACAGUCAAAGCAUGUCAAGUUUGCCUUGGUGGUAGGUCUGACACUUCGCUGGUAUUUACUAUCGGUGCAUGACACGUGUCGGAUCCAUUAGGGUGAUUCGGACAGGUCGUGUCAAAUUGGAUACAAAAGGCUGAAGUCCAAACUAUGCUUAGAUUUUUGGGUCGUCUGGAAUCUAAAUGGCCCGAAUCGGAUCCGUUUGACUAGGCUGCCUCAAUUUGAGGAAAUCGUUGCCAAUGGCUGCCCCACCCGGCUACUCUUUCAUAAGGGUCUUUGAUCAAAUCUUU